rnacentral:rRNA from 1 species
GCCUUUCGCUUUUGUGGGGGGGGGCCUACCAGGCGAGGACGGGUAGCGGCCUGAAAGGCGACCGGCCACCCUGGGAAUGGGACCCGGCCCCGAUUCCUACCGGAGGCAGCAGUGGGGAAUAUUGCACAAGGGCGAAAGCCUGAUGCAGCGACGCCGCGUGAGGGAUGAAGGCCUUCGGGUUGUAAACUUUUUCAGCAGGGAAGAAGCGCAAGUGACGGUACCUGCAGAAGAAGCGCCGGCUAACUACGUGCCAGCAGCCGCGGUAAUACGUAGGGCGCAAGCGUUGUCCGGAAUUAUUGGGCGUAAAGAGCUCGUAGGCGGUUUGUCGCGUCUGGUGUGAAAACUCGAGGCUCAACCUCGAGCUUGCAUCGGGUACGGGCAGACUAGAGUGCGGUAGGGGAGACUGGAAUUCCUGGUGUAGCGGUGGAAUGCGCAGAUAUCAGGAGGAACACCGAUGGCGAAGGCAGGUCUCUGGGCCGCAACUGACGCUGAGGAGCGAAAGCAUGGGGAGCGAACAGGAUUAGAUACCCUGGUAGUCCAUGCCGUAAACGUUGGGCACUAGGUGUGGGGCUCAUUCCACGAGUUCCGUGCCGCAGCAAACGCAUUAAGUGCCCCGCCUGGGGAGUACGGCCGCAAGGCUAAAACUCAAAGGAAUUGACGGGGGCCCGCACAAGCGGCGGAGCAUGCGGAUUAAUUCGAUGCAACGCGAAGAACCUUACCAAGGCUUGACAUGCACGGGAAGCCACCAGAGAUGGUGGUCUCUUUGGACACUCGUGCACAGGUGGUGCAUGGUUGUCGUCAGCUCGUGUCGUGAGAUGUUGGGUUAAGUCCCGCAACGAGCGCAACCCUCGUCCCAUGUUGCCAGCGGGUUAUGCCGGGGACUCAUGGGAGACUGCCGGGGUCAACUCGGAGGAAGGUGGGGAUGACGUCAAAUCAUCAUGCCCCUUAUGUCUUGGGCUUCACGCAUGCUACAAUGGCCGGUACAAAGGGCUGCGAUACCGUAAGGUGGAGCGAAUCCCAAAAAGCCGGUCUCAGUUCGGAUUGGGGUCUGCAACUCGACCCCAUGAAGUCGGAGUCGCUAGUAAUCGCAGAUCAGCAACGCUGCGGUGAAUACGUUCCCGGGCCUUGUACACACCGCCCGUCAAGUCACGAAAGUCGGUAACACCCGAAGCCCCAUGGCCCAACCGUUUCGCGGGGGGA